CCAAUGUUCCAGAAUCGCAUCAUGGUGGUGAUGUUGUCGUUCAUUGUCGUGGUGUUUUGCCUUAGUUCUUGUACUGCAGUGGUAUGAUCCUGGUUCCACUUUUGUUGCUGUUCCAGGUGUCGUCCAUGUUCUGCUUGCGUAUUCUGGAUGUCGAGGAGGGUGUUGUCGGUACGGGGGAAGAAAGCGCCGACCUCUUGGUAGUAGUCGUUCGUGAAAGCAUAAGAGGCAUAUGAGUAUCGUCCUGCAUCGAAUUAGGGCAGAGGUCUGGACCCUGAAGCUCCAAACGGAUCAGUGGAGUACCUGCCCGUAUGGAAAGGCGGGUUUGUCCACUGGUGAUCUUGGCUCUCCGGCCAUGUCUCCUGUGUUGGCUCUUGUGGUUGAACAUGUCGAACCCAUGGGUCCCAAAGGACUCGGGGGUUGUAGUUGC
rnacentral:lncRNA from 1 species